GGAAAUGCUAUGAAUAUACCUAACUUGUAUCUCAAAUGCACAUUUAAUAAAAUUGACCAUUUGAAUUGAUUGAAAAGAUUGUGUGGACCUCACACUUAGCCAAUUUAAAUGCUCACUUCAGAUGUGCAUUUGGGAUAAACCAAAAUUCUUUUGACUUGAUUAUUGUAAAAUAGACUGUUCAAAUAAUUUAGAUUUUAUUUUAAAUUAAUUUUAAUAAUUUAAAUUAUUCAUGUUGUAAAAUUUGUUAAAGAUUUUAAUAUUAUUAAAAAAUUCGUUGAUAAAAUAUUAAUUUAUAAUAUAUUAAUAUCAAUUUAUAUUAAAAAAAUUACAUUAAAAUUCUCCAAAUUAUUGUAUUCUCAACCUGAGUGUCAGAAAGCGUGUAGAACAGAAGAACCGACGUGUCAGAAAGUGUGUGGAACAUGAGGAUUGACAAUGAGUCAAAAAAAAGUCAAUCUCUCUCUAAUUCUUUAUAUUAUUCACAAGACUAGGCCAUAAAGUUCACUGUUCAUUGUCACGAGAACUUUCAUAAGAAGAUUUACAAGUCGGCAGAUGAUCAUUUUGUCCCAACUUUCUGUCUCAGUUAUAAAUGGAUAACACAUAUGUAUUUAAAAUUUAUUAAAAAAAAUUAUAUAAUUUUAUAAAUUAUAAAUAAACAAGUAUCAUCCAACUAGAUUAAGACAGGAUUAUAUCUCAAAUGUUUUGGGACAGCAGAUUCCAACUCUUACCAGUCUAACUACUCCUGAAAGUUUAGUGUUGUGCCACGUGUUUCACUUUAUCCACGAUCACAGACGUACGCUCGAGUAAGGCUGUUCAAAAAAAUAAGUAGAACUAAAAUAUCAGAAUAUUGAAUCUUAGGGCAUGUUUGGUAAUAUUUAAAAGUCAAGUUUUUUUUAAAGUUUAUUAUCAAAAAAAGUUAGAUUUUUUAAUUUUCUGGCUUUACUUUAGCUAAAAAUAAGCAAAAAAGUAAAAUAAAAAAGUAAAAAAGCAAAAAAAAAUGACUUUUUUGUUUAUAAAUUUAAAAAAAGCCAGCCGAAAAGCAGGUACCAAAUAGAGCCUUAAUAUUAGAAUAGCUUAUGUAAGGGAAUAAAUUAUACAAUUAUGAAUUCUGGCAUUCUUAGGGUAAGCACCGCCAACAAACUAUCAUUAUGAAGCAAGCUAUGUGGUCCCCUAUGCCGGGACUCGAUCGAGACACUACCAAACAUUGGCACUGUAAGGUUACCAUCACUUUCGAGUUGUCACUGUUUAGUAACCGGAGUUUGGCCAAGCACUGUUUUUAAAACCGGACCGGACGGUCAACAGUUUGUGGCGAUCCAACAGGUAAAUUUAAACUUUUUUGAUUUUUCUUAACGAGAUAAGACUGAAAAUGUAAAAAUUUUUAUUUAAUUUCCAAAAACAAUUUAUAAAAAUUAUUAUUUUUGAAAAAAAUAACUUUAUUUUUUAUAAAAGAAAAACUGUUAUAUAUUUUAAAAAUUAUUCUCAAUAAUAUAUAUAUUUCAAAACUAUUUUUUUUAAUAUUUUUUCGAUUAAAUGUUUUUCAAAAAAAAUAUUUUUCAGAAAAACGGUUAAUUUUCAAAAAAAAAUUGGUAAAAAAAAUUAAUUUAAUAAAAAAAAUUAUUAAAAAAACUAAUAAAAAAGAAACAAAAAAAAAACUAAAAAAACGAAAAAGAGAGGAGAGAGAGAGAGAGAGAGAGAGAGAAUUGUCCAAUAGGUGUGAAGGCAAAUUAGUAAUUUUACAAGUAAUAAUGGGGGACAAAAUCUGACAAGGGUGGUCAGUACCGAAACCUCAGGGGAGAUCAUUGUAAUUUUUUAAACUUUAAGAGUACUUUAUGUAUUAAUCUGAAACCUCAGGGGAGGUCAGUGUAAUUUACCCUUAUUAAAAUUGCCAAAAUGGAUUUUCGCCAAUUUCGCCAUUUCACCCAUUUUAACUUGUUGACGUCGUCAAAAUCAAAAUCGUUAUAUCACCGAUUUGAUUAUUAACAUCGCCUACCUAAGUUUUACUCGCCCGCCCAAAAGGUAGAAAAAUAAUUGGGAGUUACAUCCUCCAAUUAUUCAACUAAGGCAUCUUGCUCAUCAAAAUUGUGAAUUUCAGAAAGCUGGAGCAUCUCAGUUUUUUUUAUUUUUGAAAUUGCAACAAUUUUUUUGGACCUGUUUUCAGGUUUUAAAAACCAAUUUAAAAUAGUUUUCAGAAACUAUUUUUAAAAAAAAAAAACUGAUAUCAGUUGCAGAAACUGAUUUUAAAAAAUAAUUAUUUUUUGAAUUUUUAGAUUUUAAAUUUUUUUACAACUUUAAGGAAAAAACAGAAACUCGAAAACUGUUUUUUUUUCCUUUAGAAAUUGUUAUAUAUAAACAGAUUGCAUAAACAUGUUUUUUAUUAAAAUCAGAAACUAUUUUUUUUCUUGAAACAGUUUUGCUUCAAGGCUGGAUAACAAUGUUUCAUUGCUGUUUGCUUUCUGUAUAUUCAAAAGUUUACGGACCCCCAACGGUUGAUUGCUCAACUAUC
rnacentral:lncRNA from 1 species